rnacentral:rRNA from 1 species
AGAACGAACGCUGGCGGCGUGGAUAAGACAUGCAAGUCGAGCGGGGUACUAUUUGUAGCAAUACAGGUAGUGCUCAGCGGCGCAAGGGUGAGUAACACGUGGGCAACCUGCCCGGAAGUGGGGGACAGCUCGUCGAAAGGCGAAUUAAUACCGCAUGUGACGAAGAGUGACAUCACUCCGUAUCAAAGGCCGGGCAACCUGGCGCUUCGUGGAUCGGGCCCCGCGGCCUAUCCGAGUCCUAGUUGGUAGAGGUUAACGGCUCCACCG